CAUUUGAGGAUGAUGCUGCUGAGAAUGGUUACCACCUACGUGUGCAGUUGCAGCUACAAAUUCUGGAGUCAAUACUGAGUUUGAAGUGAUUGAAGAAUUAGCCUUUAUGAAUAGCCUGCAUGGAAUAACCACAGAAGCCAGCAUAGAGAUGGUGUGCAUCCUUUUG